GGUAUAAUAUUUUAAUAAAAAAGUUAAAUUUGCGUUUUAAAAUUAGGGUUUCUCUUUAUACUU
rnacentral:tRNA from 1 species